UGGGGAAUUUUGGACAAUGGGCGCAAGCCUGAUCCAGCCAUGCCGCGUGCGGGAAGAAGGCCUUCGGGUUGUAAACCGCUUUUGUCAGGGAAGAAAUCUUCUGAGUUAAUACCUCGGGAGGAUGACGGUACCUGAAGAAUAAGCACCGGCUAACUACGUGCCAGCAGCCGCGGUAGUACGUAGGGUGCAAGCGUUAAUCGGAAUUACUGGGCGUAAAGCGUGCGCAGGCGGUUUUGUAAGACAGAGGUGAAAUCCCCGGGCUCAACCUGGGAACUGCCUUUGUGACUGCAAGGCUUGAGUGCGGCAGAGGGGGAUGGAAUUCCGCGUGUAGCAGUGAAUUUGCGUAGAUAUGCGGAGGAACACCGAUGGCGAAGGCAAUCCCCUGGGCCUGCACUGACGCUCAUGCACGAAAGCGUGGGGAGCAAACAGGAUUAGAUACCCUGGUAGUCCACGCCCUAAAACGAUGUCAACUGGUUGUUGGGAAGGUUCCUUCUCAGUAACGUAGCUAACGCGUGAAGUUGACCGCCUGGGGAGUACGGCCGCAAGGUUGAAACUCAAAUGAAUUGACGGGGUCAUAGCUGUUU
rnacentral:rRNA from 1 species